UCUCCGUAGGUGAACCAGCGGAAGGAUCAUUCCAAAUAGGGGCGUUAGGCCGCUUAUAUCAAUCGCGAACCUCCCUAUCAGCAAUGUUGCGGCGGAAUUUUCCCUCGAGCGGGUCAGCGCCAACCAGCAACUAUAUCCCAACCCUGUGUCUGCAAAAUAUUAUGAGUAAAACAAUUCUAUAUACAACUUUCAACAACGUAUCUCUUGACUCUAGCAACGAAGAAUAACGAAGAAGAACGGAAUAGCACACGCCUGAAUUCCAGACACACCAAAUCAGAA
rnacentral:misc_RNA from 1 species